rnacentral:sRNA from 1 species
GUGCAGGAUGGCGACGGCGGCCUACGAGCAGCUGAAGCUGUGAGUCCCACGGGCCGGAGGCCUGAGGCGCGGCGGGCGGGGCGGCAGGCAUAUCACACCUGAAAAAUUUUAUGUGGAAGCUUGUGAUGAUGGAGCAGAUGAUGUACUUACCAUUGACCGUGUGUCCACAGAGGUUACCCUUGCAGUCAAGAAAGAUGUUCCUCCUUCAGCUGUCACAAGACCAAUAUUUGGUAUACUGGGCACAAUCCAUCUGGUGGCAGGUAAUUAUCUUAUAGUCAUUACCAAAAAGAUAAAAGUAGGUGAAUUUUUCAGUCAUGUAAUCUGGAAAGCAACAGAUUUUGAUGUCCUUUCUUAUAAGAAGACAAUGUUGCACUUAACUGAUAUUCAGUUACAAGAUAAUAAAACCUUCCUAGCGAUGCUAAACCAUGUCUUGAAUGUGGAUGGAUUUUACUUUUCAACAACAUAUGAUUUGACCCAUACUUUGCAGCGGCUAUCCAACACUAGUCCAGAAUUCCAAGAAAUGAGUCUCUUGGA